AUGAAUAGCACAACCGUCCCAAUUAUGAAUUGGAACGUCCGUGGAUUGAACUCGCCGGCGAAGAGGGCCACCAUUUGCGAGGUUGCAGACGCACACAGCCUCGCCCUGCUGUGCUUGCAGGAAACGAAGAUCGACGCCCGGACACCAGAGCUAGCCAGGGAGGUUGGAGGCCCCAGACUUGACAACUGCGCCGUGCUGCCAGCGCUGGGCACCCAAGGCGGUGCCGCCAUUUUCUGGGACUCCACCAAGAUCACUAUAGCCACACAAUUUGUAGGGCAGUUCUCCAUCACUGCAAGAGCGCUUCUCCCCCACGGUGGCAUCGCCUUCUGGAUCACC
rnacentral:rRNA from 1 species